CCUACGGGAGGCAGCAGUGGGGAAUAUUGCACAAUGGGGGGAACCCUGAUGCAGCAAUGCCGCGUGAAGGAUGAAGGUUUUCGGAUUGUAAACUUCUUUUGUACGGGACGAAGAAAGUGACGGUACCGUAAGAAUAAGCCACGGCUAACUACGUGCCAGCAGCCGCGGUAAUACGUAGGUGGCAAGCGUUAUCCGGAUUUACUGGGUGUAAAGGGCGAGUAGGGGGGAUUGCAAGUCAGAGGUAAAAACUAUGGGCUCAACCGAAGGGGGGGAUUGGAAACUGCGGUUUUUGGGUGAUGGGAAGCAGGUGGAAUUCCCGGUGUAGCGGUGGAAUGCGUAGAUAACGGGAAGAACACCAGUUGCGAAGGCAGCCUGCUGGACAUUAACUGACGCUGAGGCGCGAAAGCGUGGGGAGCCAACAGGAUUAGAUACCCCUGUAGUC
rnacentral:rRNA from 1 species